rnacentral:sRNA from 1 species
CGCCCAAACAAUCAAAGGCCGCGAG